UGCAGGGCCAGAGAAUAAUUUGCAUUUUCACAGAUUAGCUUGAAUAGGAGCUAUUUAAUGUAUUUAUCUACAACGAACUCACCUUCUUUAACCGACCUCUCUUCAACUUGUGUUUAUAGCUCAAUUCAGUCAGAACAACCUCCGGGUUUUCAUGGCUUUCCCUUUUUCUGUUUUGAUUUUGUUCAUUUGUUUUUUAAUCCAACAUUUACCAUCAUUAUGCUUUCCUUCCUUGCAGAGAAAAUCCUCUCCAGUCAAGUAAUUGCAUCCAUUUCAUCUUCCCAGCCCUCCUCUAGAUGGGAGGUGGAGGUGUGUGUACCAAUCUCUUAAUUCAGAAAUGAGACAAGAGGAGGAAAAAGGAGUUCCGGAGACUUUGAGUAAAGCUGAUCACCUUACGUAAUGUGAGUGGGUCUCGUCCAAUCAACUGAAGGCUUUAAGAGCAAAGACAAAGGUUUUUCAAAGAGAAAAAGAAGACUCUCCUCAAGACUGUGACAUAGAAACUCUGCCUGAAUUUCUAGCCUGCUGCCCUGCAGAAUUUAGAGUCAAGCCUACAACAUAACUCUUACCUGAAUUCUCAGGCUGCUGACUUACCCUGCAGAUUUUGGACUUGCCAGCCCCUCACAAUCCCAUGAGCCAAUUCCUUAAAAUAAAUCUCUCUUUUUCCCUCUGUAUAUAUUUAUGUCCUAUUGAUUUUGGUUCUCUGGAGAGCCCUGACUACUACACUGAGUGAAGGGAGGGCUUUGCUAAGUGAUCAUGGUCCCAAGGGCAGCCUCUGAGAGCCCGCUCCUUUUGCAGGAUAUUUGAAGACCAGACCUUGAGUCAAAUUCUGCAGCCAAAUUCAAUGCCCAUAAGACUUUCUGCUCAGAAGACGUCAUGCAAAGGGAAUCCCCAGGGCUCUUUAAAUUAGAUCUUCUGUUUGUGCAGACACGUGAUAAAUGUUUUGGGUACAGCCUGGCUCACACCACAUUUUCCACUUUUUGGGUGGAGUCAGUUUUAAUUGACAAGAAGUGCCUUUACAGGUGGACUUUUUUUUUGGUGGUGGAGGGGAGUAGUUAAAACCGAUGCUUUGCAUUCUGUUGGGCAGCAGAAAGAUUGCUUUUUCAAUAAGCAAGCCUUGGGUUUUUCUGAGCCAGUGGUAUGAGAAAUGCCUCUCCUGAAGGCCACCACGCAAGCGAGUCCCCACAGAAGCAUGCCCGAGCUGUCAGGUGCAGGGAGAAAUAUCUUUAGUAAGAGCCGGUCAUGUAAUGAGACUUCCCCACCACAGCAUAGAUGGGCAGAGGGGUUUCCACAAGGACAAUUCUUAAGAAUCUCUGUAAAAACGCAUGACUCCAUCUGUCUCCUCUCUCUUCUUUGGCUUCAGAUGAGCUGAGCCAUUUAAAAAUUCCCCAACAAGGGACCCCAGGCACCAGAAGAAGUGAUGAACAGAUUUUCAAUUUGGCCCUGAUUUGCAUAAAUUUUUUUUUUCUGGCAG
rnacentral:lncRNA from 10 species